CCGACGCCGACGCGACGCCAUUUUCUUUCCUGUUUGAAUUUCUCCAGCUGUUGUGCCGCUAUCUCGACGCUUCAGAUUAAUUACCUGCAAUUAAGUUUUCUCAUGAAGAACCUGUCGAAUUUUGACUCUCCUUUCUAUUCGAUUGAAACAUUUGCACGAAUGCCGCCAGACUAAGUAAUGUGAAGGUGCUACCAUCCUCUCUCAUCCCAGAUGGUGUUUUCUCUGUGCAGUGAGAUAAGCAGCAGCUUGCUAUCCAGUCGCCAACCUAUGGUCUAAAACCAGGGUAAAGGUCUCCAAAAAUUUUAAUCUAUCCUUUUUAUUCAUUUAAAAUUAUUUUUUGACAUGUCUGGUUGUCAUGGGUGGAUUUUAUGACCGGGCAGAAAAAUUGUGGUCUCGCACAAAGAAACAUAUCUUGUCUGCCUUGUUUCACAAUUUUUUCAAACAUUUUAUUUUUCAUUACAGAACUGUCGCACUCAUUAGCCUGAAAAUUUUAGAGUCUUUUCUCCCAUCAAGGGUGAAGAAGAAUCACCUGAAAAUUCAGAACAAUCUGGACCGCAUUUAGCAGGAAGGAACCAAGCCACAUAAGCUAUUGCCAAAUUUAAUCCGGCAAUUCAAUUUUUCAUAUAAUAACGAUUGUGCAAAUUUCAGUUAAUUUUUCGCAUAGUAUAAUGCAAAUUCAUUCUAAAUUUUCCAAGGAAUCUGCGCGAAAUUUUUUAGUGAAAUAUAAGAUUGUCCAGUUAAAUUUGGCAAUAGCUGAUGUGGCUUGCUUCCUUUUUGCCAAACGUCGUCCUUCUGUGCAAAGGUAAUGUAAUCAAAUAAAAUGUAAGUUAUGAAAUGCUGAAUCAGCGCAAUCAAAAUACUUUUCUUUGUCUAGGUCACGGUCUGUCACUCGGGGAAAAUGUUACAUCUCAAAGUCUGCAUGUAGGAGGGUUUGCCAUUCACUGGAAAUUAGUUUGCAUUCUCUUCAGUAAAUUAUUUCUUAGUAGCAAUUACCUCAAAAUUCGAAUCCCUCAAUUACUCAAUUUUCUCAAGGCAGUUAAUGCUGUAUUUCCAUGACACCAAUCUGGGAUAGAAACCAUAGUAAUCGUGGCAUCGUAAAUUGUUGGUGGGCUGGGUGAGGUAAAUAGGCCUCUCACAAACUAUGAUGGACCCUUUGCCAUUUUUUAGCUUUCUCAUGUUGUGAGCAUAAUCUCUCAGUUUGGUCAACUUUGAAAUUAUUCUUGCCGUACAGAAGUGAAGAUGGUCUGAAUUUUUUGGCCCAGUUGAUGGCUCUCACAUGUGGAAUGAAAGCAUGUGCAAGUUUGAGAUCACCAAGAAAUUUUUGGGCUGAUAGAAAAUUGAAGAUUCGAACUGUUUAGAUGGACAGAAUUCCAUUGUUUCACGCUUCAGUCCUCCAAUUUAUGGAUAUGUCAAUUCAUUCUCGGGUUAGUCGCUCGUUUCAAGGCUUUGUCGAUGGAUUUGAGAUGGUCGAUUGAAUCCAUAGGUACCACCCUCUCCUGUUCGAGAUUAAUUAAACCAUUUAUUUUCUGUUUUAAAUGAGUAGCAAUUCCGAUACUUGCCUUCAUUAUUGUCUGAGCAGUAUCGCCUCUUUUUUUUCUUUGACAGUACUACUUAUGUCCAACGGCAAGGUUGGCUUACGCAAUGCACAAAUAUAACACUGGUCAACACGGGUCAAUUUGCCUACGAACUGUUAAUUCUGCCUGAGCUAAUUUUUCGCUCCGAGUCCAAACAUGACCUGUAGUUUGCUGGGUUAGGUCGAUUUUCCCCGAACAAUUUGAAUUUUCCUUAAAAAUCAAGUUUUUCUUGGUAAAAUCGGAAUUUUCCUUGGAAAUCAAGCUUUUCUAGAGAAAAGUCACAUUUCUGGAAAAUCUGUGCACAGCGGAGAAGCACUGAGGUCAUUUUCAGAUUCAGCAACCUGAAAAACAUAAGGAAUUUAUUAUUGCAUGUCCAUUGCCCAUUUCCAUUCCCAAUAUCGAGGCUUUUCCUGUCAAGUGCUGCGCGAAACAAUCGGAUGAGCUUCAUAUGGCGUAUAUCGGGGGAAAGGAGCUCUUGAUCGGGAAAACCUUGAUUUUAGGAAUAGGGAUAAAAUUUCAAUGGGCAUGCAACUUGUCUCAUCUCAUGUAAUUUUGGCUGCUGAAUCCGAAAAGGACCUUAGUUUUUCUCAAUCGUGUUCAGAUUUUCCCAAAAGUAGACUUUUCCCUAGAUAAACAAAGGCAAAGUAAAAUUUUUUUUUUUUGAUAACCAGUGAGUUGAAACAGGUAGCCUGAAAGGCCACGCGACUUUUUUGAUUGAACAGCUGAUCGGUUAGGGUCUUAUCGUACCUCAGUGUGCUACUUAAGCUCGAUGCGCCCCAUAGUCAAUCCGAACGUCACUUGUUUUGUACAAAGAUCGAAAUAAAAUGUGUCUUAAAAUCGGAUUCCAUUACACCCACAUUUUCCAUCUGUCAAGGAUUCCUCUAUCUGCUCCCGUUCAGUGAAUUUUCAUUUCUUACUUUUAAUGCGGUAAAAAGAAAUUAAACUUCUUGUUCAACAAAUCUACUUGUUUUAAGUAAUCCAGUCUCAUUGCUGAUCUCCCACUAUCGUCUAUCACUCAUUAAAUUUGUACGCCUUUUGAAGUAAUUGCUAUGAACACUUUUGAAUCAUGUUUAUUCCAGCUUACCAAGUGAAAGAAUAUUUAUUAAUAAAGACUCUUAAUAACUUACAUCCUUAUGCUGAGUUACUUGUUUUCAUUUUCAUAUCACCUUUCGUACAUGCUAUAUUCAUUGAUUUUCACAAAUUUUUCUUGUCGGCCCUUAGUGAGGUCAUGUAAAGACUAAUACAAGCAGUAAGGAAGUUAAUUUAAAACGACUUUGUCGAAUGGUGCGUCAAAGCACAUUUUUGCAGAAACUAUCUUCUUUUUAUUCGAGCUCUUCAAUUUUUAUUUUUAACUCACACACUGUCAUGAGAUACUUAUCUAAAUUGAAAUAGUGGCUUACUUGAUUCGUUGUUUACGGGAUUUUGCUCUACAAGUGCAAUAAAGGACAUACAAAGUUGUAUUUAACUUCUGAGGAAUUGUCGGAGCAGAGGAUUAAGGACUGUUGAAUUCUUGAUGGAAUCUUAA